CCCUUAGAUGUUCUGGGCCGCACACGCGCUACACUGAAGGAGGCAGCGUGUACUCCUGGAUCGAAAGAUUUGGGUAACCCGCGAAUCUCCUUCGUGCUAGGGAUUGAGGUUUGCAAUUAUCCUUCAUGAACGAGGAAUUCCCAGUAAGUGCAAGUCAUAAGCUUGCGCUGACUACGUCCCUGCCCUUUGUACACACCGCCCGUCGCUACUACCGAUUGAAUGAUUUAGUGAGGACUUCGGACUGGGACCGAUGCGGCUUUCGGGCUGCGUCGGUAUUCUGGAAAGACGUCCAAACUGUAUCAUUUAGAGGAAGUAAAANUCGUAACA
rnacentral:rRNA from 1 species